UGCAUCACUCCUUUAUCUUGGCUUUGAUAAAGCUCAUGGUGAUCACAUAUUAUUUGUUUAUCAAACAAAUGAUGAUUUGGUGUAUGUAGAUGACAUCAUUAUUGUCAAUACAAGUGAUGAAAUUGGAACCAAAAUUGCAUUAGAAUUGGAAUCAUUCUUCAAACUUCGAGGUCUUGGCUUUCUUGGCCCAAAGCCACUUGACCAGUCGGACCGUCAUAUGACCCAAAGCCACACGACUCCGAAGGUCCCUCACAUGGCCCGAAGCGACCCGACACGAAGUUCCCUCGUAGCUGAAGCCAACAUACGGCUUAAAGACCAAAAAUGAUAUUAAUAUCUUUUACAACCCAAAACCAAAACAUACUUUUCUUAUUUAAAUUCAUUGCUUAGUCUCGUACUUUUUUUAGUUAGUUUCCUUCUUGAUCUGUUUAACAUUUUCUAUUUAACAUACCAAUUCAUUUAUAUAUUCAAUUCUACGUUUUUCACAUUUAACAUUUCGAUCUAAACUAUUUCAUUAUCAUACACAGUCUAACAUACCACAUCCUAAAUUGUGAAAAAGUUAUUCGAACCUUGAAAACCACUUCAAAGAAUAAAAAACAAAACUGAUAGGUUAUCCACAUCCAAAUCCCACCUAUAAAUCAUCAACAUAGAAUCACUAAAAGCCAUAGCUCCAUCACAUAUCACAUCCUCUCUUCAGAGGAAAAACGAAAUAGAAUUUUACUUUUCAAUUAUCCACCCACUGGUGUUACCCAUUAAGCCACAGAUCAGUGGCAAACAUGUUAUUAUCACCAUGAGGUUUUGUUUUUUGUCACAAAUCACAUCAUCACCUCUAGUGAUCUUAAAAGAUCGAAGAUUCUGAACUUAUCUGUGUUUUCCAGCAAUGCUUUUCUGAAAUCGUAGGAGGAUAUCGACAUUGCAUUUUAACUUGAUUCAAAAAAAUUCAACGGCC
rnacentral:lncRNA from 1 species